rnacentral:rRNA from 1 species
GAUGAACGCUGGCGGCGUGCCUAAUACAUGCAAGUCGAGCGAACAGAUGAGGAGCUUGCUCCUCUGACGUUAGCGGCGGACGGGUGAGUAACACGUGGAUAACCUACCUAUAAGACUGGGAUAACUUCGGGAAACCGGAGCUAAUACCGGAUAAUAUAUUGAACCGCAUGGUUCAAUAGUGAAAGACGGUUUUGCUGUCACUUAUAGAUUGAUCCGCGCCGCAUUAGCUAGUUGGUAAGGUAACGGCUUACCAAGGCAACGAUGCGUAGCCGACCUGAGAGGGUGAUCGGCCACACUGGAACUGAGACACGGUCCAGAAUCCUACGGGAGGCAGAAGUAGGGAAUCUUCCGCAAUGGGCGAAAGCAUGACGGAGCAACGCCGCGUGAGUGAUGAAGGUCUUCGGAUCGUAAAACUCUGUUAUUAGGGAAGAACAAAUGUGUAAGUAACUAUGCACGUCUUGACGGUACCUAAUCAGAAAGCCACGGCUAACUACGUG